rnacentral:rRNA from 1 species
AACGAACGCUGGCGGCAUGCCUAACACAUGCAAGUCGAACGAGACCUUCGGGUCUAGUGGCGCACGGGUGCGUAACGCGUGGGAACCUGCCCUUAGGUUCGGAAUAACUCCCCGAAAGGGGUGCUAAUACCGGAUAAUGUCUUCGGACCAAAGAUUUAUCGCCUUUGGAUGGGCCCGCGUUGGAUUAGCUAGUUGGUAGGGUAAAAGCCUACCAAGGCGACGAUCCAUAGCUGGUCUGAGAGGAUGAUCAGCCACACUGGGACUGAGACACGGCCCAGACUCCUACGGGAGGCAGCAGUGGGGAAUAUUGGACAAUGGGGGAAAGCAUGAUCCAGCAAUGCCGCGUGAGUGAUGAAGGCCUUAGGGUUGUAAAGCUCUUUUAACCGGGAUGAUAAUGACAGUACCGGGAGAAUAAGCUCCGGCUAACUCCGUG